rnacentral:hammerhead_ribozyme from 1 species
CUCCAGCUGACGAGCCCCAAAUAGGACGAAGUGUGCUCGUCCUGGAU